AUCAGAUCGUCUACCAAAGUCAGGAAGUUGCGACAUCGGAAGAAAAGGUAUUACUAAAAACAAGAUGCCCUCAACAAGGAAAUUGGUAGCGUAUCUCAUCAUUUCUGUCCUCUGCACAAUAGGCCCAGCUGUGAAUGCAUCUUCGGGAGCACGGUGGUACAGGAGUGACUGCUGGAAAUCUGACUGCUAUAGAGGGAACGAUUGUCCUACGCCUUGCGAGUGCCCUGGACUCAUUCAACGCCUCUUUGGACGCCGCACUUGUUAUUGAUGGAGAUCCCAACUGUAGCUCAUAAAGGGUCUAA